UUUUAAGUGGCAAAGCACACUUAGCUGGCUUUAAUACUUCCGGCCUAGCCGGGGCGGAGAGCGUACCAUCUGCGAUGAAGACACCAAAGUUAGUUGCGUUAGGGUAGCAGAUAGGCUAGCAGAGGCUCAAGCUUAAGGGAUGAAGGACGGGUUAGUUAGAAAGGUUGCUACGCGAGGACGCGCGGGGAGGAGUUGGGUGGGAAGUUUGGGCGCGGGCGCGGGGUAGGUUUGGAUUUGGGUUUAGGGUCGCGGCGGAGGCGCGUGCCUGGUUGUGACGAGGCGACGCGGGAGCAGCGCGCGCGCCGGGGUUCCCUGCUAGGCAACGGCCGCGGCAGGUCGAAGCUGAAGGACCGCGACUUCGCCCUCGAGCUCCUCGUCCUCCUCCGCCACUAGGGACACCUACGCUGCCUCCCCCCUCCCCUGCUGCUCCAACAAUUGCUCCUUCUACCGCUCUCCCACGGCUUCUCCUAUCCAUCGUCGCCCUCCUCCUGCCCCUCCGUUUACCGCUCCGCCAGCCCCAACGAUCGCUUCGUCCACUAGUCGCAGUCGAGUCGCGCCUCGGAGCCCAAGCACAGAGUCGACACCCAGCUGCGGAGCAGCACCCAACAACGUAACCAGCUUCACUCCGGUUCGAACGAAAGUCCUCUACGCCUGUUUAAGGAAAAACUACUAUAUAUAGUCUAACCUCUACAACACGAACAAGUCCUACUUAGACACCAACUCUUGCUUAAAUUCGAUCAACCCGACGUACCGAACCAACCGAUGUUACAACAUUGAAGGUCUGCCGCGUUACAACCAUUCCACGCACCGAAGUGAAAAUUGUAAUUGAGUCCUCAAAACCUCAGAGAACUCGAACUAAGUAAACCCGAAUGGUAACAGGGACGAUCAGACCAUUCGUGUAUGACAAAUAAACAGCUUCUACACGAACUAUAUCAAAGACUAUGUUAGCACCACGUACUUCUACGUUAGAGAGCACAAGUUGCCAAUUGUGUCCCGUAGACCCCGUGGGUUUUAUACGUUCCUGGACCGCUAGUCUAUCCGCUCAUGUUGUCUAUACCGUCCGCUUCUCGAUCCAGACAAUUCUCUGUUUUAUCGGUCCCUUUCGGGUACCCGGCUUUCGAGGUAUCCUUUUGCGCUCUAGGCCUCCUACUCACCCUUGACGGUUACCUCAUAACUGUGUGCGUGUGCGUUGUGAUCGAUAGAAGGGCGGGAGUCUCUUUCUUCACAACAGGGCGAGCUUUUCAGGUAAGACGUGGGCUCGAGUAUACGAGGGCGUACUUGUCAUUUUAGCUUUUUUUUAGUUUUUCAAAAAACUCUCUUUGUAACUGUUUUCAAGAUUCACGGACGUUUUUAAGUAGUACUUUAGUGUAAGGACAUUCCGCACCGUUUUUUUUGUUUAAGUCACGAAGUUUUACGCAAACUUUCAUCGAAAAAGUCUCAUGACAAAAAAAAAACGGUGCGGAAGAUCCUUACACUAAAGUACUGAUUAAAAACGUUCGUGAAUCUUGAAAACAGUUACAAAGAGAGUUUUUUUUAAACCUCGAAAAAACUUAAAAAAAGCUAAAAUGACAAGUAAAUUCGAGCCCACGUCUAAUCCGCGCAGGACAGGGCGAGAAGAACGAGCCGAUGUCAUCCUAUACAGUCCAAAACAUGAUGAUGUAAUAACCUUCUAGUGCCCAUCCUUUCCUUUAUCAAACCGGUAGAACCCGCACGAAACCGAACCACCCAAUCACUUUUCGCUCAUACAGACGGCUGGAGGCUUCAGGAUUAAGACCAUGUCUUACUGAGUAAACACCGCUCGUCUCGGGACCCGGGACCACUCAAGUAAGAGCACAUUACUACUUCAAAGAAAACUGAAGUGGCUGUGACUUACCGACUUCACAUAUACGCACAUUAGUACAUCACUACAUGAUGGUGACCUCUGACCUAAUCAUGACGAUCUAAUCAUGAGAUCGAAAUCGGUCUUCCAGUUCUAAGGACGAUAUAUGAGGGAGGAAAGGCCAAAUAUUCCGAAUUAAGCUUUUAGAGUGCUUGGUUCUAUCUACCACUCAUCACCUUAUGAAAAACAUCAAACGUUUUCGUAGAUUAAUUACGAGAACAAAAGGAAUUUUUUCAUACAAAUAGUUACGUAAUUAACAUUACGUACGUACGUAUUUAAUGUACGUAACCAGUUAAAAAAGAAUUAUGAACGUACGUUACUAAAUUACGUGGAACUUUAGACUUGUACACUACCCUUUGUUGGUUUAACUCGGCAUAUUUUACUUUUUUGAUUUUAAAACUCUAUUUGGGAUAUUUGGCUUUUCCUCUCUCAUAAAUAUUUUUUUCUUUUUGUCAAACCAAAGACUUUCCCUCCAUACACCGAUGAAGUUGGUGACUAUACUAAAAAGAGAAAGAGAUUUGAUCACUCCGACGCUCCAACUGGCUGAGUGGACAUCCGACAUCGUACAACGCAUCACUGCCGGCUGGACCUCACGUUAAAAUCGUAGGCCGCUGGAUGGGUCAUGCAUAGACGCACACGCACAGGGAUGCUCGUGCAUGAAAAAACAAGGUAAGCGCCCUGACCUAGCUACGUAACGUACUGUCGCAACUGUGUAAAUAGCCGUGGUCAGAGACGACCGGUAUAAAUACCAAGGCUGUAGGCGUUGUCGAGUUGGGUAGUUUCUAGUGAGUAGUAGUGACGAGUCCGUCACGACGACGAGCUCGGCAAGCGACCUAGGUACCGCCAAAAGCGCCUAGGUACCUUAAUGAGCGGCGCAUGGCCACCCUAGGUACCUUAGUGAGAAACACGGUAAAGCGAAAAUUUAGAACGCAGCUCAACGCAAAAAAAACAAUACUAAUCUUUUUCCAGAGUACAUAACUAAACCCGUUUGCCUGUUGCC
rnacentral:rRNA from 1 species